GCAGUUCCUGUCAGUUCCCUUCUCCUCCACUGUAAGUCUCGCGGUCUGACUGCCUCGCGGAGCGUUGCCCCGGUAACCCGUGGCAACGCUCUGACGCUGCGGGUCUCGCGAGGCUUACAGUGGAGGAGAAGGGAGCUGACAGGAGCUGC